UACGUAGGGGGCAAGCGUUGUCCGGAUUUAUUGGGCGUAAAGAGCGUGUAGGCGGCUUUACAGGUCCGUUGUGAAAACUCGAGGUUCAACCUCGAGACGCCGGUGGAAACCGUAAAGCUAGAGUCCGGAAGAGGAGAGUGGAAUUCCUGGUGUAGCGGUGAAAUGCGUAGAUAUCUGGAGGAACACCGGUGGCGAAGGCGGCGUUCUGGACUGCAACUGACACUGAAAAACGAAAGCCAGGGGAGCAAACGGG
rnacentral:rRNA from 1 species